rnacentral:misc_RNA from 1 species
ACAAAAAAUUAAUGUAUUUAUGGCGGAGAUUGAGGGUCUUAAAGGGCUUCUAUCAACUUCACAGAAGAAGUGCUUGGAAGCAGAGAAAAAGGCCAAAGCAUCCAAAGAACUUCGAGAAAGAGAUGAUACGCUACUCAAAUUAGAGGAGGAGAAUAGCAAGCUUGAAGAUCAACUAAAAUGGAAGAAAGAACAAUUCAAACAUCUAGAAGAAGCACAUGAGAAGCUCCGAAAUCAGCUCAGGGAAAGCAAGAAAGAGUGGGAGCUGGAGAAGUCUGCACUAAUUGAUCAGAUUUGUUCCCUGCAGACAAGCUUAGAUUCUCAG